rnacentral:rRNA from 1 species
AUGCCGCGUGAGUGAAGAAGGCCUUCGGGUUGUAAAGCUCUUUUGUCAGGGAAGAAACGGUAGUAGCUAAUAUCUAUUACUAAUGACGGUACCUGAAGAAUAAGCACCGGCUAACUACGUGCCAGCAGCCGCGGUAAUACGUAGGGUGCAAGCGUUAAUCGGAAUUACUGGGCGUAAAGCGUGCGCAGGCGGUUGUGUAAGUCAGAUGUGAAAUCCCCGGGCUCAACCUGGGAAUUGCAUUUGAGACUGCACGGCUAGAGUGUGUCAGAGGGGGGUAGAAUUCCACGUGUAGCAGUGAAAUGCGUAGAUAUGUGGAGGAAUACCGAUGGCGAAGGCAGCCCCCUGGGAUAACACUGACGCUCAUGCACGAAAGCGUGGGGAGCAAACAGGAUUAGAUACCCUGGUAGUCCACGCCCUAAACGAUGUCUACUAGUUGUCGGGUCUUAAUUGACUUGGUAACGCAGCUAACGCGUGAAGUAGACCGCCUGGGGAGUACGGUCGCAAGAUUAAAACUCAAAGGAAUUGACGGGGACCCGCACAAGCGGUGGAUGAUGUGGAUUAAUUCGAUGCAACGCGAAAAACCUUACCUACCCUUGACAUGGAUGGAAUCCCGAAGAGAUUUGGGAGUGCUCG